UUAAACUUCGAUUAGAAUUUGCUAACUGUAAUUUCCUGUCGACGUCGAAAUGCACAACUUUUUGUGAGUUGUCCUUUGGCAAUUUUCGCCUGUUUAAAGGGUUCAUCACGAGCAAAGUUUUAGACUCUAACAAUAAAUAAAACUUCUUUUUUAAGAAACACUUUGCGUCAUCUACCUAGAAUUAUUUUGUACCAGCAAGUCAAAUAAGCAAGUCAUUAAUCGGUUUUAUGGUUUUUUAAACGCCUUAUUAAAUGCAAAACAAGUCAAAUAAACACGGACCUAAAACGACUCUUGACCCAUUUUUUCUAGAAAAAUAAAUCUUGGAAUCAAGCUUGAAAAAUUGUAAUUUAAUAAAUUACCACUUUGUUUGCUCUCCGUGUUAAAUCUGGUAAAAAAUCACCCUUCGUAAAUCAUCCCUGAGCGAAGCCACGAAUGAAAUUGAUUACAUUUUUGUUUUUAUCAAUCAUUUCUCCCUCGAUGAGACGUAAUUGUUUAGUUAAUCACAACCGACAUUAAUCAGUGGAACCUAAAGCCACAUUUAUUCUUUGAUCUAUUUAUUCAAUGGCGUGAAAGUAAUUAGUUUGGAAAUUUAUUAUAUUAAGUUUGUAAAUUAUUCGAUUAACAACAACAUUUUUCUAGUGAUUACGCCAAAAUUUUGCCUCCGUAAAUAUUUGGUUUGUUAUUAAUUGCUUUGGGUUGACGGAUUAGCUAAAAUUAAAACCAUGGCUUAACGUUUUAUUUUACGGUUAUGUGGCCACUUUGACUACGUAUUUAUAUAUCGAGUUUUAUGAGAACUAUCAAUAAACAUUUUAUAAUUUAAAAGAAGUCUUAAAAUCGUGAGUUUCAGGAAGAAAUUAGCGCUUCAGGGUGGUGAACUCAUUUGCUUAUUUUUUCAGCACAAGGAAGCAAAUUUUUCAAACAAGCAGCGGCAAAAGUAUAUUUUGGGAAAAGUACAGUUUUUACGUUUCUUUCUCGAAAACUCAUAAAUGGUCUUUCGAAAUAAAUGUUUUUUCGAAUUUUUCCGGCUUUUCCAUACCUUUAAUAAAGCGUUUUGCUCAACAAGAUCAGAAGAUAAACGAUUAAACUUCUAUUUAAUAGAGCUUCAACCACGUAAUUGCUUUCAGGCUAUUGAACACAGCUUUCUCUUAUUGUAUAUUAAACGAAAAGCAAUUUUCUACAUAUUUCUUCGUCUUGCAGCUAAACCUCCAAUUAAUUCACUAACGAAUUGUACCAAUUGAUUUUUUCUGGAGACGCUCAAAUUAUCCCAAUUUUCAACCUGCACAAAAUUUCCAGCUUAAUCUCGGAUUAACUGACAGUAGGAAAAUGGAUUAAGAAGGAGAAGAGACGUGCAGAGAAUCGACUACUCUUAUAAUAGAUAAGUGGAUCACAUUCAAGCCACUGAAAUAAGUUUUGCGACAAAAGGAGCGUCUAAUAUUGGCCAAAGCUGAGUUAUUACUUUGAUUUAGAGCAAAAAAUAAACUCAAAAGUGUGAGAGUUCCAAUGCGCAAAGACUUCACAUUGAACAAAAUUUCUUUCAGCGAAACAGAGGUUCAUAACAACGUUAUUGAGGCAUCUUUUACCACUCCUGCUGAUCCUGCAAAAUCAAUUUAAUUUUAACCAAAUUACUAAAAUUCCUUUGUUGCAGUAAAGUAACGGUUUAAGUACUGUUCGGAAUUUGUUCACACUUUGACCCCGGUUAAAGUUUGCGUUAGAAUUUUUUCUUGCGGUUGGGAUUAGGAAUCCUUUCAAUUUAUCAAGCGGUUAUUACAGAUCAACAGGUAUUUUCAUCGGUAUUAACGACCUGUUGAUCUCAAUGGUAGUGGAUCAUGCAAAAAUUACAUAUAAUUUCUCACAUAAAAUUGUAUUGCUGUGGGUGCAGUGAUAAGGAAUGAAUCUAAGGAAAGCGUUCAACUCCGAUUUAUUUCCUUCCAGUCGGACGAUAUCUCAGAUUAGUUUAGCAGUGUCGUAACAAGUUUUAAAAAGUUUGGACGGAGCAAUUAGAAUUGAAAAUAGAUGCGUUGUAUAAGGAACAGUUUCGGAAAUAAAUUCUAUUUAAUUAACAAAAUUGAUCAAUAAUAGCAGUAAUAAGGCCCCAUCAGGACACAGCACUUUUUAAGGUAAAACACCCUGAUUUUCAAGGGUAAAUAAAAAGCAGUGAUCCAGUUCAGGACACCGCACUUUUUAAGGUAAAACACCUCGAUUUUCAAGGUAGAUCAAAAGUCUAAGAUUUCAAGCAAAACACCCUGAUUUUCAAGGGUAAAUAAAAAGCAGUGAUCCAGUUCAGGACACCGCACUUUUUAAGGUAAAACACCCUGAUUUUCUAGUAGUUAAAAAAAGUAAAAAAUAUCAAGCAAAAUAACCCGAUUUUCAAGGACAAAUAGAAAAGUAGAAAAUAUUGCGAAAAUGACCGGAUUUUCAAGGGUAAAUAAAAAGCAGUGAUCCCCCUGAGGACACAGCACUUUUUAAGGUAAUAUUUUAAAAAUAACAUUUUUCAAAGAUUUUACUCUGUUGUAUUUGAAUUUACCGCCGCGAUUAAGUUGGUACUAGUUAUAUUGGCAAGCCUGAUUACCUUGGAGCUUUUGACUUCCUGCCAAUGCUCGUUCACACGGGGGUGUCGCUUGCAUAGAGAAAGAGGAAACAUGAUUUAAAUUUCGCGCUAUGUGCUCACCCUGGACUGUCAACAAUGUCAACCCAUAUAAGGCGUAAAGCACAAUUAGCAUGCGCAGUUUUGUAAAACGGUUGACAACAUUGACGGUUUAUUUAAAAUAAUGUUUUUGUGUGUCAUGUGUGGUCGUGAGACUGGCUUUGGUCACAGAUCAGCAUGUUGUCGUUUAGGUUGGUUCUUGUGUGAAAAUCGCGUUUGCCUCAUCACGGAACGCAAUUAUUCAAGAAUGGAAAGAAGUCAGAGUGUAUAUGCCUUCAAAUUCCCCCUGUACCUUCGUAAAGUGCACUUUGAAUGUUAUGUGAGACUGGAAGUGUUUUAUAAAACGGAAAAGUAAAGUGGUAGUUUUGUGGACUGUUAAAAUUAAGUUGUGCAUGAGAAAAUUACACAAUAUGUUUUACUUUAGAAUGUAUUUUGCACUACUAUAAUUAAUAAAACCGUUUUUUUUUAAUAGUGUAAAUUUGUUAGUCCCGUGUUUAGUGAUAAUAAUUUUACAGGUUGUAUAUACAAACUUUGGGUAUAUUUAUUCAAUUUUUGUAUAAAACCAGUAAUGCAAACUAAUAAGGGUACAUACAUAAAAUACGCAAUGUUCAAAUUGCGCGCGGUUUUUCAAUUUCCAAUAUGGUGGAUUUAGUUUCUCACCCGACCGCACGUAGCGCUAUCAGCAUUAAUUUGUUUCCUCAAAAUAACACGGCGCUGUCACUUCUUAACCUUUAUAUUCUUUGCUCGUUCAGUUGGUUCAGUCCUGUGCAAGUCCUGUGGUUCAGUCUAUGCAUAGAUCCUCCAUUAUCUAUAAUUCUAUGCUGUGAUUCUAUCUUAUCAGUCAACGUAUAAUAAUCAUUACCUGUUCUGUGAUCAUUACCUCAGCAGAAGAUGGAUGAGGAGAAGAAUGGUCAAAUUGCUAAUCUCUUGGUGUGCCCAAGAGAUUGCGAAGAUCAUACCAGUGUCCUUCAACUGUUCCGCAGACUCAAGCCACCUAAUUGCCCUUUUAUAGCGACCAGGGUCUGGAGUCGGGACACCCGAAAACAAAAAUGCUGUAUGUGGGGUGUGUUAUAUCAAAGUAUUGAUGAAACACCAUAUUUACAAGGCACACAAGCUAAAGAACUAAGAAAACAGUUGAAUGCAUGGAGACCAGUAGGUGGAGAAAUUGUAGAUUAUGAAUUCUACCAAAAUCAAGCCACCAAUGAAAGAGGGUGGGUGUUCACAUGGAGGAGGUUGGCGUGUACCCAUCAACCCCAUUUUCCUAAGCAAUACAAUACUCGAACAGAGGAGCUCAAAAUAUACAUGUAGUGAUAGUAAAUAAUUAUGGUAUUUUUUAAUAAAAGUGUGGAAUCCCUUAA